rnacentral:rRNA from 1 species
CCCUUAGAUGUUCUGGGCCGCGCGCGCGCUACACUGAUUCAUGCAACAAGUUUUGUCCUUGGCUGAUAGGCCUGGGUAAUCUUUGAACGUGAAUCGUGAUGGGGAUAGAUGAUUGCAAUUAUUCAUCUUCAACGAGGAAUUCCUAGUAAACGCAAGUCAUCAGCUUGCAUUGAUUACGUCCCUGCCCUUUGUACACACCGCCCGUCGCACCUACCGAUUGAAUGGUCCGGUGAAAUCUUCGGAUCUGAGAGAUGUCUGAUUAAUUUCGGACGCCUUUUGGAAAAGUUGCUUAAACCUUACCAUUUAGAGGAAGGUGAAGUCGUAACA